GGCCGCCUGGCGAAAUGGCAUCGCGUCUGACUACGAUCCCGAUAUACCACAUCCGUUGUUCGUUAAAAUUAGGAGAUUUCAGGUUCGACCCCUAUGGUGGUCA